GGGUGAUUCACAGCAGUCAGGGGAUGACGGAGGAUGUGCAGUGGAUAUCAAAGACCCUCCUAUUCUUCUCAGAAAAAUGCCUCCGAACCAAAGCCAGAAAUGGAUUCGAAAGGAAUGGGAAAUAUAAAAGGAAGGACUUAUACAUCUUCUUCCCAUUGGAUCCCACCUCUGACUUUGGCUCCAAAAAACUGCAGUGUUGUUUUCCCAAAAAACACUAUUUGUGGAACCACCCUUAGAUAAUUUUUACACCAUUUCCAUCCCCCCCCCCCCCAAAAAAAAAAAAC